GUGAGUAGUUCAGAGUUUGAUCCUGGCUCAGGACGAACGCUGGCGGCGUGCUUAACACAUGCAAGUCGAGCGAACAAAGCUCCUUCGGGAGUGGAGUUAGCGGCGGACGGGUGAGUAACACGUGGGUAACCUGCCUUAUAGAGGGGGAUAGCCUUCCGAAAGGAAGAUUAAUACCGCAUAAGAAGUAGAAGUCGCAUGGCUUUAGCUUUAAAGGAGCAAUCCGCUAUAAGAUGGACCCGCGGCGCAUUAGCUAGUUGGUGAGGUAACGGCUCACCAAGGCGACGAUGCGUAGCCGACCUGAGAGGGUGAUCGGCCACAUUGGAACUGAGACACGGUCCAG
rnacentral:rRNA from 1 species